GAUGAACGCUGGCGGCGUGCCUAAUACAUGCAAGUCGAACGGGGAGUAGCAAUACUCUUAGUGGCGAACGGGUGAGUAACGCGUUGGUACCUGCCCCGAAGCGGGGGAUAACGGACCGAAAGGUCCGCUAAUACCCCAUGUGCUCGGUAACGAGUAAAGGUGAAAACCACUUUGGGAGGGGCCUGCGUCCCAUCAGCUAGUUGGUAAGGUAACGGCUUACCAAGGCGAUGACGGGUAGGGGACCUGAGAGGGUGGCCCCCCACAAUGGAACUGAAACACGGUCCAUACACCUACGGGUGGCAGCAGUAGGGAAUAUUGGGAAUGGGCGCAAGCCUGAACCAGCAACGCCGCGUGUGCGAUGACGGCCUUCGGGUUGUAAAGCACUUUUGACUGGGACGAGGAAGGACGGUACCGGUCGAAUCAGCCUCGGCUAACUACGUG
rnacentral:rRNA from 1 species